rnacentral:lncRNA from 1 species
AAAUACUGGAUUUAGUGACCAUUGGAUAAAACCAUAUAUAUUUUGUAUAAUGAUCAAGAAAAAUAAGGUAAUAUCGUGAUCCAUCAAUUCCAGUAUAACUAGCAGGACCCCACACAUCCGUGUAAAUAAGUUCAAGUGGCUCAUGACUUUGAAGACUAGUGGCAUGGAAGGAUUGUUGAUGUGCUUUAUUAAUAGAACAUGAACUACAUAAUGAAGACAAGUUUUUGUUCGAUGAAAUAGGAAGAGAAAUUUUUUUGACAAGAUGAUGAACAAUUUUAGUAGAAGGAUGCCCAAGACACUUGUGUCAUCCAUCAAAAGAAGUUCGUUCAUGUACAUUAGCAACCUUUUUUGAUGUCAACGUUGAUUCCGGAAAGGUGUAGAUGCCAUUGUUACAUACUCCUCUUAGCAGGAUUGACCCCGUGAUCUUGUCCUUCACAAGAAAAUGAAAAGAGUGAAAUUCAACAAAGACAUUAUUUUAUUUGGUAAGUGAUGAACAGAAAUUAAAUUUUUGUAAAGAUUUGGAACACAAGGAGUAUCACGCAAUGUAAAGGUUCAGUGAGGAGAGUGCAAAGCCAAGGAACCAAUGUGUGGGACUGCCAAACAUGAACCAUCACCGAGAAUUACUUCGUCAGUUCCACCAUAUUCGGAGUGAAUAGAUAGAUUGGAAAGAUCACUCGUGAUAUUAUGAAAAGCGGCCGAAACAAGUAACCAAUUUUUAUGCUUUCCAGCAGAUGUUGUAGCACAAUUUAUGGAGACAUUCUGUAAAUGGAAUUGAGGACUUGGCAAUGUGGCCCAAUUGGUCACAAAUUUGACAUUGGGCUGGUAACGCCGAUUGUAAUUGUUGGGCCGACUAGAAUUGUUGUAGCGACGUCCAUCACCCUGGGCUCCAUUUGAGUUUCGACUUUUGCUAGAGCUUUAAGGCCCACGUUGAGGACUAUUUUGCUUGAAAGAACAUGGGUGACUCUCCCUUGUGCAGGCUGCUUCAUCAUCGUAUAAUUUGCAGAAACCACCAGAUUCUGUGUUGUAGCUUACAGAUGCCGUAAAUAUGCCUCGUGUCCAACCAAAAGGUCGUGCAAAUCCUCAAAGGCCAAUGAUGAUUCUCGGGCUCGAAUAAGAGCAGUAAUCUUCCAAAAAUCUGGACCUAAAUUGUUUAAUACAUAAAGGGUUAGGCCAUCAUCGGAAAUUGAAUGAUCAAUAAUGGCUAAUUCAUCGGCCAAGGCCUUCACAGCAUGGAGAUAUUUUGUGGUCGAUCGAUUUCCACGUUGGAUUAAGGUGAGUUCCUCCUUUAACUACAUAGCAUGAAUUCUUGAUCGGUUAGCAUACAGAGUUUUUAACUUUUUCCAAACUUCAUGAGAGGUCUUUGCCAUAGCAAUGAGUGGGGUGAUUGAAGGAGAUGUGGAUGCUAGAAUAGCACUCAGGAUAAAUUUAUCCCGUCGAACCCGGCGGGUCUUGCGCAGCUCAUUAGUGGAGGUACCAGCGGAAGAGGAGCACCGAAGGGUGCCUUCGACAUAGUCGAGUAAAUCAUAACCAAUAAGGAGUGUUUCAAAUUGAGCAUGCCAUUGGGGAAAGGUGGAGGGAGUUAAUUUUUCAUUGACUUGGGCAGUAAUAUUGAGGGCAAUCAGGGAUUUAUUUGCUCCAAAAGGAGGUUGGGUAUUGAGGUUAAAGUUUGAAGUUUGAUCAAAAGAGGAAGACAUGGUGGUGACUUGGAUCGAUGGCUCGUUGGAGAUCGAUGGCUCUGGUACCAUAUGAAAGAACAGAUUGUGAAGGAACACAUAUUCUGUGAUUUCAAUGAAGAAUUUCCCACACAUUUUAUUAAUAGAGAUUCCGUGUUAUAUACAAGGUGAUUGAGGAGCUGGUUUAGGAAAUACAUACAUGGUAAGGCUAAAUCUAUGCUGCUGUUACAGUGUAUAGAAUACAAAAAUAGAAGCUACUCUUAUUAUAAAAUUAAAUGGCAGAUUAUUGGACAUGAUUUCAGGCUAGACAUGCUUUGUUCAAGUUGGAGCGGGAUCCACGCAUGAUUCCCUUAUAUGCCUUAUAAUGACAUUCUUCAUCGUAACUUAAUCUCCUUUUCUUUUCUUUUUUUUUUCUUUCUUCCCUGAAACAACUUCUAUAUUCUUGUUUUUCGCCUUCU